rnacentral:rRNA from 1 species
CCUACGGGGGGCAGCAGUGAGGAAUAUUGGUCAAUGGGCGUAAGCCUGAACCAGCCAAGUCGCGUGAGGGAUGACGGCUCUACGGAUUGUAAACCUCUUUUAUAAGGGAAUAAAGUGUGGGACGUGUACUGUUUUGUAUGUACCUUAUGAAUAAGGAUCGGCUAAUUCCGUGCCAGCAGCCGCGGUAAUACGGAGGAUCCGAGCGUUAUCCGGAUUUAUUGGGUUUAAAGGGUGCGUAGGCGGCAUUUUAAGUCAGCUGUGAAAGUUUGGGGCUCAACCAUAGAAUUGACGUUGAAACUGGGAGGCUUGAGUAUGUGUGAGGCAGGCGGAAUGCGUGGUGUAGCGGUGAAAGGCUUAGAUAUGACGCAGAACCCCGAUUGCGAAGGCAGCCUGCUAAACCGUGACUGACGCUGAUGCACGAAAGCGUGGGGAUCAAACAGGAUUAGAUACCCGUGUAGUC